rnacentral:rRNA from 1 species
AGCAGCCGCGGUAAUUCCAGCUCCAAUAGCGUAUAUUAAAGUUGUUGCAGUUAAAAAGCUCGUAGUUGAAUUUCGGGGUUCUACCGUUGGUCGGGCAAUAGUCUGUACUGGCGUGUGGAAUUUCUACCUUCUGGGGAACCAUCAUGUUAUUUAUUUAGCGUGGUGGGAAACCAGGACCUUUACCUUGAAAAAAUUAGAGUGUUCAAAGCAGGCUUACGUCUGAAUACAUUAGCAUGGAAUAAUAAAAUAGGACGGUGGUCCUGUUUUGUUGGUUUCUGAAUCACCGUGAUGAUUAAUAGGGAUAGUUGGGGGCAUUAGUAUUCAAUUGUCAGAGGUGAAAUUCUUGGAUUUAUUGAAGACUAACUUCUGCGAAAGCAUUUGCCAAGGAUGUUUUCAUUAAUCAAGAACGAAAGUUAGGGGAUCGAAGACGAUCAGAUACCGUCGUAGUCUUAAACCAUAAACUAUGCCGACUAGGGAUCGGACGAUGUUAAUUUUUCUUGUACUCGUUCGGCGCCUUACG